rnacentral:rRNA from 1 species
GUGGGGAAUAUUGGACAAUGGACCAAAAGUCUGAUCCAGCAAUUCUGUGUGCACGAUGACGUUUUUCGGAAUGUAAAGUGCUUUCAGUUGGGAAGAAAAAAAUGACGGUACCAACAGAAGAAGUGACGGCUAAAUACGUGCCAGCAGCCGCGGUAAUACGUAUGUCACAAGCGUUAUCCGGAUUUAUUGGGCGUAAAGCGCGUCUAGGUGGUUAUGUAAGUCUGAUGUGAAAAUGCAGGGCUCAACUCUGUAUUGCGUUGGAAACUGCAUGACUAGAGUACUGGAGAGGUAAGCGGAACUACAAGUGUAGAGGUGAAAUUCGUAGAUAUUUGUAGGAAUGCCGAUGGGGAAGCCAGCUUACUGGACAGAUACUGACGCUAAAGCGCGAAAGCGUGGGUAGCAAACAGGAUUAGAAACCCUAGUAGUCC